AUUUCAUUUAGAGAUCUCUGCCUACCUGAGGCCUUCUGAAGGUUCCCCAGGCACCAGCCAGCCAUGCCUCAUCUAGCACAAGUUUGGAGGGCAUGUUGAAGCUGUGUGCUGCAGCCCUGGAGGUGUUCCUGGAGGAUUCCUGGAGGAGAUGAGCUCUCCUCUCAGCCCAACAAAAUGCCAACCUCUCUUCCCAUUUGCCCUGGGUUCUGGAGGCACAACCCAGGAAGGACCUUCUGCAUGCUGCCCGUGCUCCAGCACGCAAGUGACACAUGGCUCAUGGCUGGCCCCAGCAUCCCAGGGAGAGGAACAUCUGCUUGGCCUCAGGCAGGCCUCUGUCUGGUUUUGGGAGAGACAUCAGCUCUGAAGCUCUGAGCAGACCCCAGAGAGAUGAUGGUGGAAAAACACAGGGUAGGACAGUGGCACCUUGCCCUGAGGUCCCAGAAGAGUGUGAGGAGGCAAGGGGCGGGCAGUACUUGGCCAUCUCUGCCCCUGUUCUGCUGUUUGCUUGGGCUGGCCAGUAACCAGGCCUGGAGGAGACCGGGAGGACCUAGUGAGCUGUCUGUGGUCCCCUUUUCCAUUUUGUAACAGGAAGUUUUGGGCAAUGUGAUAAGCAAGCAAGACUGGAAUGGUGUUUGGGGAGGCACCCCAAAUGCCAAGGGGUGGCAUCCUCCCAGUCUGGUGGGAGAACACCUUCCGGGGUGAAGGGGACUCACAAACAGCCCUCCAUCAAUAUUUGUACUGGAAAUAGCUGCCCUUCUGAGGUCUCACUGACUUAGGCCAGAGAGAAUUGAGGGUGAUAGACUGUAGGACUGACAGCCUCCAGCUGCCCACAGUGUUGUGCUGUCUUGUUCCCACAGAGGUGCUGGUGUGGCCUGGGGCGGCCUGGUUCCCCUCAGGCCCUGGCUGCCCAUACACAGUGCUCCCUGCCAGUUUCCUCUGCCUCCCCUCAGAGCAGGCACGUAGCAAAAAUACGUACGUGCAGUUAGGCUCUUGCCUGCGCCUGGACCUUUCCUUCCAACUCAUUUCCAAGUGCAGUGCUGAAAAACCACAGGUUUUCUCUUCUAGCUGGUCACAGCUAUCACUCCUUGACGUGUCUUUGAAUCCAAGGAACGAAAAUAGUUCUGUGAGAUCUAUUAAGUCUCUGGCUUGUAAAACACAAUAAUUUCUUACUAGGUUACACUAAUAUUUCGUAAUUCAUUCUUAAUAUUAUUCUUCAAUAAAGCUCUGCACAAACAAUCUAUCCCACAGGAGAAACCUCUGCCAGAACCCAGAUGUCAAACACAUUUGCUUCAAAUACAGGAGUUCGUGACCUUUUCUGUUUGUUAAUGUGACGCCAUGGAAAUUGUUUAUAAUAAAUAAGCGUGUUUCAGAGUCAGGUGCCCCACAGGGCCUUUUUCAGAGAUACGACAGCCCUUCCUGAAACGGGUCUUUCCUGUUUUGUUUUUGUCCCCUAACAAUAAGGUUUAGGGAACAAUUUGAAACCCUGUCGCUGAGCCAAGUCCAACUGCUGAGAGGUAGACAGGAAGUCAGAGAUAUCUCAGAUUUCAAAUCUUUCCUGAAAUUGGCUGCCGAUAAGGCUCCUCCUUUUUCUUUUAUCCUUUACCCUAAAAAUUCAAAUUUCAAACAGCAGGCUGUAUAGAUCUAAACAAAUUCUAAAUGUAUCAGCUUAAAUCACCAAAUCAACUAGGAAACUAUUGGAAUUUCUUGGAUUCAAAUAGCAGAUUUGACAUGUGAAGGGUUAUUUACUUAUAACAUGCUCGUUUAAAGCCAAGGCUGUACCAUCUGCCUACAAGCUUCAGGUACAAGUGAUCUACAAGUUAUCUGAAGGUUAAUAUGUUGAUAAUGUAUUUCCACUAUCUUCUUCAGCAGAUGUGACAGUGUUCUCACAAACAUGUGGGACCAGCGCCUGGACUAAGAGCAGCUGGCUCUUAAUGAAGCCAGGGCAAGAAAAGGAUGCAACUGAAAAACAAGAGCCUUGGCUCUGCUCAUCCUAUUGUCAGCUGUACAUUAUGGUUUAUAACGUCUCCUAAGUUUGUUGGGUUCACCAUCUCAGAUUCCUAGACAGUAGCAGCAGCAAGCAAUGUCUCCCAAGGAGGAAGCUGAAACUUUCCCUUCUGCAUAAAUGUGGUCCUACUUGCCACUGUGGGCUGUAGCUGAUGGCAGGAAAACUCCAGUUCAGGGCUAGGACAGCACCCCUUCCCUCAUUGGUUACCCAGCUAGGAUUCUCACCUUGCCUUGUGCUAGUAUGGGGCUGGGAGCCAUUACCAACAUCAGAGAUUGACAAGUAGCUGAGAAGUAAUUGUUGCAGCCUACACAGAUGUCACAGCUAAAUCCCUGUGCGUCUCACUGUCUGUGGAGAGACGGAUCCAAAGUGUUCUGGCGCAUGAAGGAUGAGUCCACCUUGGACUUAUUCUCACAAUGUAUUAAUGAUGUGU
rnacentral:lncRNA from 1 species